rnacentral:tRNA from 1 species
UCGGAUAUGGUGUAAUGGUUAACAUUACCGCCUCUCAGCGCUCCCUAUCUAGGUGGGUUCGCGGUAGCUCGGGGUUCGAUUCCCCGUAUCCGAA